AGAUUAGCCAUGCAUGGUCUAAGUACAUGCCGUAUUAAGGCGAAACCGCGAAUGGCUCAUUAAAUCAGUUAUGGUUCCUUGGAUCGUACCUUACUACUUGGAUAACUGUGGCAAUUCUAGAGCUAAUACAUGCAGCAGAGCUCCGACCUUCGGGAACGAGCGCUUUUAUUAGACCAAAACCAAUCGGGCCUCGUGUCCGUUCUUUGUGGUGACUCUGUAUAACUUUGGGCUGAUCGCACGGGCUUGUCCCGGCGACGUAUCUUUCAAGUGUCUGCCUUAUCAACUGUCGAUGGUAGGUUACGCGCCUACCAUGGUCGUAACGGGUGACGGGGAAUCAGGGUUCGAUUCCGGAGAGGGAGCCUGAGAAACGGCUACCACAUCCAAGGAAGGCAGCAGGCGCGCAAAUUACCCACUCCCAGAACGGGGAGGUAGUGACGAAAAAUAACAAUACGGGACUCUUUUGAGACCCCGUAAUUGGAAUGAGUACACUCUAAAUCCUUUAACGAGGAUCCAUUGGAGAGCAAGUCUGGUGCCAGCAGUCGCGGUAAUUCCAGCUCCAAUAGCGUAUAUUAAAGUUGUUGCGGUUAAAAAGCUCGUAGUUGGAUCUCAGAUCCGGCCGGACGGUCCGCCUACCGGUGGUUACUGUUCGUUGCCGAUCGUUCAGGCGGUUAUUCUUGAUGAUCUUCACCGGUUGUCUCGGGUGACCGCCAAGUUUACUUUGAAAAAAUUAGAGUGCUCAAAGCAGGCGUGACGCCUGAAUAAUUGUGCAUGGAAUAAUGGAAUAGGACCUCGGUUCUAUUUUGUUGGUUUUCGGAACACGAGGUAAUGAUUAAGAGGGACAGACGGGGGCAUUCGUAUUGCGACGCUAGAGGGAAAUCUGUCCU
rnacentral:rRNA from 1 species